UCAAGCGAAUAAGCGCACACGGUGGAUGCCUUGGCGGUCAGAGGCGAUGAAGGACGUGGCAGCCUGCGAAAAGUAUCGGGGAGCUGGCAACAAGCUUUGAUCCGGUAAUGUCCGAAUGGGGAAACCCACCCGCUUGCGGGUAUCCUGCAGUGAAUACAUAGCUGCUGGAAGCGAACCUGGUGAACUGAAAUAUCUAAGUAACCAGAGGAAAAGAAAUCAACCGAGAUUCCGUAAGUAGCGACGAGCGAACGCGGACUAGCCCUUAAGCUGGAUUGGUUCUAGGAAAACGCUCUGGAAAGAGCGGCCAUAGAAGGUGAUAGCCCUGUAUCUGAAAGGGCCAUUCCAGUGAAGACGAGUAGGGCGGGGCACGUGAAACCCUGUCUGAACAUGGGGGGACCAUCCUCCAAGGCUAAAUACUACUGACCGACCGAUAGUGAACCAGUACCGUGAGGGAAAGGCGAAAAGAACCCCGGAGAGGGGAGUGAAAUAGAACCUGAAACCGUGUGCGUACAAGCAGUAGGAGCUCCGCAAGGAGUGACUGCGUACCUUUUGUAUAAUGGGUCAGCGACUUACUGUUCGUGGCAAGCUUAACCGUAUAGGGGAGGCGAAGGGAAACCGAGUCUGAUAAGGGCGCAUAGUCGCGGGCAGUAGACCCGAAACCGGGUGAUCUAGUCAUGCCCAGGGUGAAGGUGCGGUAACACGCACUGGAGGCCCGAACCCACUCCCGUUGCAAAGGUAGGGGAUGAGGUGUGAUUAGGAGUGAAAAGCUAAUCGAACCCGGAGAUAGCUGGUUCUCCUCGAAAGCUAUUUAGGUAGCGCCUCAUAUGUAUCCUCUCGGGGGUAGAGCACUGUUAUGGCUAGGGGGUCAUCGCGACUUACCAAACCAUUGCAAACUCCGAAUACCGAGACGGACUGUAUGGGAGACACACGGCGGGUGCUAACGUCCGUCGUGAAAAGGGAAACAACCCAGACCCACAGCUAAGGUCCCAAAUUCACUGCUAAGUGGAAAACCAUGUGGAAAGGCACAGACAGCCAGGAGGUUGGCUUAGAAGCAGCCACCCUUUAAAGAAAGCGUAAUAGCUCACUGGUCGAGUCGGUCUGCGGGGAAGAUUUAACGGGGCUAAGCACAGAACCGAAGCUUGGGGUGCAUACUUUGUAUGCGCGGUAGAGGAGCGUUCCGUAAGCCGUUGAAGGUGGAUUGAGAAGUCUGCUGGAGGUAUCGGAAGUGCGAAUGCUGACAUGAGUAACGAUAAUGCGGGUGAAAAACCCGCACGCCGAAAGCCCAAGGUUUCCUUGCGCAACGUUAAUCGGCGCAGGGUGAGUCGGCCCCUAAGGCGAGGACGAAAGUCGUAGUCGAUGGGAAGCAGGUUAAUAUUCCUGCACCUCGCGUAAGUGCGAUGGAGGGACGGAGAAGGUUAGGUGUACCAGGCGUUGGUUGUCCUGGGGAAAGGCGGUAGGUUUGGAUCUUUGGCAAAUCCGGGAUCCUCUAAGACCGAGCACCGAGACGAGCCUUUAUGGCGAAGUCACUGAUACCACGCUUCCAGGAAAAGCUCCUAAGCUUCAGCUUACGCAGACCGUACCGUAAACCGACACAGGUGGGUAGGAUGAGAAUUCUCAGGCGCUUGAGAGAACUCGGGUGAAGGAACUAGGCAACAUGGCACCGUAACUUCGGGAGAAGGUGCACCCUUUUUGGUGGCUCGUGCGAGCUAUAGCUGAAGAGGGUCGCAGUAACCAGGCCGCUGCGACUGUUUAUCAAAAACACAGCACUCUGCAAACACGAAAGUGGACGUAUAGGGUGUGACGCCUGCCCGGUGCUGGAAGGUUAAUUGAUGGGGUCAGCCGCAAGGCGAAGCUCUUGAUCGAAGCCCCAGUAAACGGCGGCCGUAACUAUAACGGUCCUAAGGUAGCGAAAUUCCUUGUCGGGUAAGUUCCGACCUGCACGAAUGGCGUAACGACAGCGGCGCUGUCUCCACCCGAGACUCAGUGAAAUUGAAAUCGCUGUGAAGAUGCAGCGUUCCCGUGGCAAGACGGAAAGACCCCGUGAACCUUUACUAUAGCUUUACACUGAACGUUGAGUUCGUCUGUGUAGGAUAGGUGGGAGGCUAUGAAACCAUGGCGCUAGCUGUGGUGGAGCCAUCCUUGAAAUACCACCCUGUCGUGCUUGACGUUCUAACCUGGGCCCAUUAUCUGGGUCGGGGACCGUGUAUGGUGGGUAGUUUGACUGGGGCGGUCUCCUCCUAAAGAGUAACGGAGGAGCUCGAAGGUACGCUCAGCGCGGUCGGACAUCGCGCACUGUGUGCAAAGGCAUAAGCGUGCUUGACUGCAAGAUCGACGGAUCAAGCAGGUAGGAAACUAGGACUUAGUGAUCCGGUGGUUCUGUAUGGAAGGGCCAUCGCUCAACGGAUAAAAGGUACUCCGGGGAUAACAGGCUGAUACCGCCCAAGAGUUCAUAUCGACGGCGGUGUUUGGCACCUCGAUGUCGGCUCAUCACAUCCUGGGGCUGUAGUCGGUCCCAAGGGUAUGGCUGUUCGCCAUUUAAAGUGGUACGCGAGCUGGGUUCAGAACGUCGUGAGACAGUUCGGUCCCUAUCUGCCAUGGGCGUUGGAGAUUUGAGAGGGGCUGCUCCUAGUACGAGAGGACCGGAGUGGACGAACCUCUGGUGUUCCGGUUGUCACGCCAGUGGCAUUGCCGGGUAGCUAUGUUCGGAAGCGAUAACCGCUGAAAGCAUCUAAGCGGGAAGCGCGCCUCAAGAUGAGAUCUCCCGGGGCACAAGCCCCCUGAAGGAACCAUGUAGACUACGUGGUUGAUAGGUCAGGUGUGUAAGUACAGCAAUGUAUUGAGCUAACUGAUACUAAUGAUCCGUGCGGCUUGACCAU
rnacentral:rRNA from 1 species